rnacentral:rRNA from 1 species
CACUUUAAAUUGAGUAUCCAUUUACCUCCUUUUCCCGCUAGGAUCGGAAAUCCUGUAUUUUCCAUAUCCAUACGAUCGAGUCCUUAG